GGACCGGUCGUCUAGUUUGGUUUGGAUGACGCACUCACACUGCGUAAGGAAUUUUUUCCCGCAAAGGUCGUGGGUUCAAAUCCCAUCCGGUCCA
rnacentral:tRNA from 1 species